AUUGUCUGUGGUUAAAAGAAUGGGUAAGUUAUAUAAAGGGCUUGAUAUACUUUUUUUGGGUAAAAAUAUUGUGUUAGCAAAUUACAUCCUUUACUAUAAGGCAGAGUGUCAUUUUAAUGAAUAGUACCAAUAGCUUUUUAUAGCUGUCUUUAUCA